rnacentral:rRNA from 1 species
AGUGAACGCUGGCGGCAGGCCUAACACAUGCAAGUCGAACGGCAGCACAAGAGAGCUUGCUCUCUGGGUGGCGAGUGGCGGACGGGUGAGGAAUGCAUCGGAAUCUGCCCAUUUGUGGGGGAUAACCUCGGGAAACCGGGACUAAUACCGCAUACGACCUACGGGUGAAAGCAGGGGAUCUUCGGACCUUGCGCAGAUGGAUGAGCCGAUGCCGGAUUAGCUAGUUGGAGGGGUAAAGGCCCACCAAGGCGACGAUCCGUAGCUGGUCUGAGAGGAUGAUCAGCCACACUGGGACUGAGACACGGCCCAGACUCCUACGGGAGGCAGCAGUGGGGAAUAUUGGACAAUGGGCGCAAGCCUGAUCCAGCCAUGCCGCGUGUGUGAAGAAGGGCUUCGGGUUGUAAAGCACUUUUGUUGGGAAAGAAAAGCAGCCGGUUAAUACCCGGUUGUCAUGACGGUACCCAAAGAAUAAGCACCGGCUAACUUCGUG